GCUAUGGACUUAAAAGC
rnacentral:sRNA from 1 species